GAGAGAGAGAGAGAGAGAGAGAGUAGCAGCUUAAUUAAUCUUCAGGGAAACUAAAACUAGGUUAUAGCAUGUGAAUGAAAAGCGUCUGAGAUGAGCAAUAUAGGGAGAGGCAACCACAGGCUAAGAAAUAUCUCCACAAAGAAAAGAGACAGAACACAAGAUGAUUAUCUUCUAAGCCCAGAAAAAGAAAAAUAUCUGGAUCCUAUUUCACCUGCCCAAAUUCGAUAUCUAAUGUCAACCCCUAUGCCCCACGAGGCCUCAACAACCUUAUCUCUGUCUCUCUCUCUUUCCUAAUUUGUAUUUUUGAGAUAACUCUCUUUCCUAAUUACCUUCGCUAUAAAUUUGCAUUUUUUCCUUCAACACCCACAGCAUUAAGAGUAAAACUAUGAACUCUGCCCCGGCAACGAAAAAACCCAUCAAUAUAAACCCCACGAAAAACUCAAUUCUAUAACAAAACUAAACCAAUUUUCUUUCAAUGGCUCUAGUCACCUCUCCAUUAACCAAUUUUAAGCCAUACCCUUUUUUUGCCUAUUAGCCGGGCGAAAGCAUCUUACGAGAAAGCAUCGUACAUAUCGUCUACAGUUCUGAAUUCUGAUCAGUGUAACCCUAAAUCGUUUAAAACCAUCUCCAAACGGAAAAAAUCAGGUCUUUUCGCUGUUUCAAACAAGAAAAGGCGCAAUGGAGCUGUUCUGGCAAUGGCGGAUGGUUCAGUUUUUGAAUCAGGACCAGAGCAAAAGAAUUUUAGGAGAAUUCUGUUAUCAGACGUGGUGGUGACGAGAGGAAGGAACGUGUUUUGGGGGAGGAAAUGGAACUCACUGGAUAUAGGCACUGCUGGUGUUGUUUUAUCAAUGCAUUUGCUUAGUUUGUUCGCUCCCUUUUAUUUCAGUUGGAGUGCAUUUUGGGCUGCUUUUGGACUCUAUGUUGUUACAGGACUUUUGGGUAUUACUCUUUCUUUUCAUAGGAAUCUUUCGCACAGGAGCUUCAAGCUUCCCAAAUGGCUUGAGUACCUUUUUGCAUAUUGUGGUGUUCAAGCACUUCAGGGGAACCCCAUUGAUUGGGUUAGCACACAUAGGUACCACCAUCAGUUUUGUGAUUCUGAGAGAGACCCUCAUAGCCCCCUUGAAGGGUUUUGGUAUAGUCAUAUGAGUUGGCUCUUUGAUACCAAUUCUGUUAUUGAAAGGUGUGGAGAUCCAAGCAAUGUUGGGGAUUUGCAGAAGCAACCCUUCUACAAGUUCAUCCAAAAAACAUACAUUCUUCAUCCCAUUGCCUUUGGAGUUCUGCUAUAUGCAGUAGGAGGAUUUCCCUUCUUGGUCUGGGGGAUGGGAGUGAGAAUUAUAUGGGUUUUCCACAUCACUUGGCUAGUAAAUUCAGCUUGUCAUGUGUGGGGAAAGCAAUCAUGGAAGACUGGUGAUUUGUCCAGGAACAACUGGUGGGUAGCGAUGCUUGCAUUUGGAGAGGGGUGGCACAACAAUCACCAUGCAUUUGAAUACUCAGCUAGACAUGGCCUAGAAUGGUGGCAGAUUGACAUGACUUGGUAUGUUGUGAGGUUUCUUCAAGCUAUAGGGUUGGCAACUGAUGUAAAGCUACCAUCUGAGAUGCAAAAGCAAAGGCUGGCUUUCAACAAUUGAAGCAUAUGGUCCAUGUGUAACACCACUUCAUGUUGGUGGACUUUCAUGCUAGCUCUUUAGUCUUGUUUAUAAUAGCUCAUGUUUACAUAUGCAUGUAACCAUAGUGAUGUAUACCAUACACAAAGUCAAAUUUGUUCAUUCACAUUGCUUUCAUUUUGUCAUAAUACAGUGGUAAAAUGAGGCAUGUUUCACAUUUGAUAGGGGUAGGCAGGCUGCUUACUUUGCCUAAUUUUAGCUUGUGGGCAAAACCCAUAUAUGGCUGAGCCUUGGCGUCAGUGACUGAAACUCCCUACCUCCAGAGCUCAUUUUCCUCGUGUUAAAUCUAGAUGAUUAGUCUAAGUUGGGCAAAUUAAAAAGGUUGGAGAAAAACUUAUUUAGACCUAAUUCAUC
rnacentral:misc_RNA from 1 species